GCGAGGCGGCGCCCGAGACAAGCGAACAGGAAAUCACGGAGGAGGCGAAGGAAGGAAGAGGCAAUCAUGUUCCGGCGGGCUGUGGGUUCCCUCCUCGCACGGGGGUUCUCGCCUCGUGCGACCCCAAGCACUGCUCCUGCGCGCUCUCUCCACUCCUCGAGGGAUCUCGCCAUCGGUAAUGGCCUUCUUGCUGCUUAUGUUUUUGCCGCGGGUAUGUUGGCUGGUGGCGGUGGGGGGUUGGUGAUUCUGCAUUUCAAGCAAGGCACUGGUGUUGAUCGAUCAGCUGCUGCUGGCAAGCUGAACCACAAGGUCAAGUUUAAGAAGCCGGACAUGAAGCAGAAGUUUGAGCGUUGGAUUGUCGAGCACGAAAAGACAUACCGGGAUGAGGAAGAGAAGGCUAUGCGGUUCGAAUUGUUCAAGGCCUCCCUCGAGAGUAUGGAAGCGCAGCUCCCGCCGGUCGAGGAGAGUGGUGUGCUUCCACAGGUAAGCUGUUUGGCAGACUUUACAGACGAGGAGAGACGGGCGAUGUACGGAAUUAAGAGGAGUGCCCAGGAGUACAGCGAGAUGGUCAAGUCUGCCUGGGCCAAGCAAGAGAAAGGAGAGCCCUAUUGAUAAGGAGGCCAGGCAUGAAGCAGAGCGACACGCGGGCAACUCAAGGCUCUGCAUAGAAUGGUGCCUGGUCAAUAAAUCAGGAGGCGACAUGGUGCCACACGAGAAUGGUAUGCAGAAUAUGACCGAUGCUUAUGUUCAUGGACAAUAGGAUCCAACCGCUGCAUGACACACAUUGCUUCGUGCCAACUGAAACCAGAGGCAAGGGCUAGCAAAUGUUAACAUGUUUAUUUAGAUUUAUGGCCCAAGAAGUGGUUAAAUUUUUGUCCGUUUUAUGAUCACUUCACCAAUAGUAUUUCUACUUCUUUUUUUUUUUUGGUUACCUUUUGCAUUUCUGAUGUUUAAUGAUGUGAUGAUCUUAACAAUAGAUCUUCA